rnacentral:rRNA from 1 species
UACGAAGGGGGCUAGCGUUGCUCGGAAUCACUGGGCGUAAAGGGUGCGUAGGCGGGUCUUUAAGUCAGGGGGGAAAUCCUGGAGCUCAACUCCAGAACUGCCCUUGAUACUGAAGAUCUUGAGUUCGGGAGAGGUGAGUGGAACUGCGAGUGUAGAGGUGAAAUUCGUAGAUAUUCGCAAGAACACCAGUGGCGAAGGCGGCUCACUGGCCCGAUACUGACGCUGAGGCACGAAAGCGUGGGGAGCAAACGGG